rnacentral:lncRNA from 1 species
AGUGUUGAGCUGAACUGCUGCGGUUGGGUACAGGACUCUGGAAGCCAAAGAGACAAGAUACAGGGCUGUAGCAUCACAAGGAACUGCAGGCCAUCUUUGGACACUCUGAGGCAUCUCUACCUGUUUGGAGGCUAGUUGGAUGGAUGGAAAUGCAAGAAAACCUCCCUGGAGACCAGAAGUUGCCUGAGUACUCUCACGUGGGUCCUGUGAUAGGCCUGAAGAUGGGCCAGAAGCAGCAGAGAGAAGGAGAGAGGCUGGAUGCUGCUGGAAGCCUGGUCCAUGACAGCAUCCUCCAAAGCACUCUUCAGGCUAAAAUGAGCUUCAUCCAGCCUCAUCUUGCCAGUAACAAAUACAUCCGACAGCCAGUUGACUGUUGUAAUUCCUGGAAGAGGAACUUUGGUGGUCUGUCUUGGCCAAAGAUGGCUGUACUGGCUGGUUUUGUGUGUCAACAUGACACAGGCUGGAGUUAUCACAGAGAAAGGAGCUACAUUUGGGGAAGUGCCUCCAUGAGAUCCAACUGUGGGGCAUUUUCUCAGUUGGUGACCAAGGGGGGCAGGCCCAUUGUGGGUAGUACCAUCUCUGGCCUGAUAGUUUUGGGUUCUAUAAGAGAGCAAGCUGAGCAAUCCAGAGGAAGCAAGCCAGUGAGUAAUAUCGCUCCAUGGCCUCUGCAUCAGCUCCUGCUUCCUGACCUGCUUGAGUUCCAGUCCUGACUUCCUUUGGUGAUGAACAGCAAUGUGGAAGUGUAAGCUGAAUAAACCCUUUCCUCCCCAA